rnacentral:rRNA from 1 species
UACGGGGGGGGCAAGCGUUGUUCGGAAUUACUGGGCGUAAAGGGCUCGUAGGCGGCCAACUAAGUCAUACGUGAAAUCCCUCGGCUUAACCGGGGAACUGCGUCUGAUACUGGAUGGCUUGAGAUUGGGAGAGGGAUGCGGAAUUCCAGGUGUAGCGGUGAAAUGCGUAGAUAUCUGGAGGAACACCGGUGGCGAAGGCGGCAUCCUGGACCAACACUGACGCUGAGGAGCGAAAGCCAGGGAGCAAACGGG